UUUCAUUUUUAUACUUUUUAGUUGGCCAAGAUUUCUAAAAAUCCUUUCUUUGUAUUGGUCUUAAGUUAUAUUCUAAUUUUCUGAGAUACUGAAUUUGGGAUUUUCCUUAGUUGUCAGUUAUAAUCAUCAAAAUUAAAAGAAAUAAACAUUUUAAAUAUAUCAGUCUGUGUGUAAUGAAUGAAUAUAAUAUACAAGUUUCACUUUUUGAAUGGAAUUAAUUAAAUAAAUCAACUUUUUGAUGAUAUUCUAAUUAUAUGACCAGCACCUGUAUUUUUAAUCUUAAUUACACGAUUUGCUCAUUUAUUAAUCUAAUUAGUCGCAAAUAACCAUUUAUCAAUAUUUGCUGAGAAAAAAACUCUAAAUGCCCCGAAUAAACAAUUAAAAUUUUAGUUAUCAUUUUAGACAGUGAUGUUGAAUAGACAACACAAAGAAGUGGCCUUUCAAAAUGUUAAUGUUGUAUGUUUUAAUUCUAUGACUCUCCUUAUUAAUUUAACAGAUUAUUGUAUUUUGUUUGUGUUCUUCUGAUGAACACAAGCAAAGAUUGUUAGUCCAUAAAAUGCAAGGGGACAGGACCACUUCAGGGUAAUUUUGACUUGGCGGAAAUAUUUAACAGUAUAUUUUUGUAUUGCUCUAACCUUGCUGUAGCCUGACAGUAAUACACAGGGCAAUAAUACAGGAUUGCUGUAAAUAGCGCGCCACCUGAUGUCACAUCACUGACAACACAGCUGCUGCUGACCGGAGACAGAAGCAGAACAGAGGAUUUAUCCAAGUUCGUGACCAUAGAGGAGGAAAAAACUAAACUACAGUACCUCGGGAGCAUCAUCUCGCUAGACAAACAGAUUUCAGCAAAGCCAGCCAAUCUCUUGGUCGCCUGUGUACAGACAUCAAGCUGGAACAUCAAGUUGGCAACCAAGAUGAGGGUGUACAGGGCUGUUGUGCUCACUCGUCCUCCUUAUGGCUGAAGACCUGGACCUGAAACAACUAUCAAUCAUGGGCAUCAAAUGGCAGGACAGGGUGCCAGGUUUUGGACAGACCUGGUCUGGUUAGCAUCGAUGCGAUGAUCAUGAAGGACCUGCUUUGUUGGACAGGCCAUGUUAUACAAAUGGACAGUUUCUGUAUCCCACAUCAGAUUCUCUGCUGUCUCAAAAGAAGUGCAGGGACUGUAUCAAAGAAAGUCUAAAGUACCUUGAUUUCUCUGAUUUCCCCCCAGAACUGGAAUCCAGAGCUGAGUGUGUAGCAAUCAACCAGACCUAUAGAAAAAGUAGAAAAUCCAAACAAUGUCGAUGAGAAACUGUCAUGGCUGCAAAGCAAUGCAGGAAGAAAUCUAAAACAACCAGCAAUUGGAAGAGCAUGCUU
ensembl:lncRNA